rnacentral:lncRNA from 1 species
GCGGGACAAACAAAAUGGCGGCCGUUUGACGGAAAGAGGCGGCACCACGGAGAUCUGGCCAGGUCUGCCUAAAUCCAAAGCCUGUUUUUAACUUGUGCUUGAGAGUUGAGAAUAGAGGGGAGCACUCGGCAGAGACAUCUUUAUUUUCUGCUUCAUGGGUCUUAUUUAACUUAAAGGAAAAAAAAUCAUCUAUAGCAUAUGUCACUUCAUGGAGAAAGAGCUAAAAGUAAAAUAGUCCCUUCACAAAAAGUUUUUAUGUCUACCAUGUGACUGAAAGAAGCAGCAGAGGAAACAGCUACAGGAAGAAACAUUUUUCCAAGAAGGUCAUCCUAGGUGAAAUGUCACUGAGAAUGUAGCAUGAAGAGGAAAAGCUUGAGCAGAUCAGGAGGAGACUGG